rnacentral:rRNA from 1 species
AUUGAACGCUGGCGGCAGGCCUAACACAUGCAAGUCGGACGGUAGCACAGAGAGCUUGCUCUCGGGUGACGAGUGGCGGAGGGGUGAGUAAUGUCUGGGGAUCUGCCCGAUAGAGGGGGAUAACCACUGGAAACGGUGGCUAUUACCGCAUAACGUCGCAAGCCCAAAGAGGGGGACCGUCGGGCCUCCCACUAUUGGAUGAGCCCAGAUGGGGUUAGCUAGUCGGCGGGGGAAUGGCCCACCUAGGCGACGAUCCCUAGCUGGUCUGAGAGGAUGACCAUCCAGACGGGAACUGAGACACGGGCCAGACUCCUACGGGAGGAAGCAGUGGGGAAUAUUGCACAAUGGGCGCAAGCCUGAUGCAGCCAUGCCGCGUGUAUGAAGAAGGCCCUCGGGUUGUAAAGUACUUUCAGCGGGGAGGAAGGCGAUGCGGUUAAUAACCGUGUCGAUUGACGUUACCCGCAGAAGAAGCACCGGCUAACUCCGUGCCAGCCGCCGCCGUAA